AUUUAAAUGGUCGCAAGUUUCACAAACUUUUAAACCUUUGUUUAAGACAGGCUGUGAAGGCAAUGAGGGAUUACGCGGGCUCCAGUCGUGCCUUUUGACCUGUGCUGCUUGCCCUAUAACCUGCCGUGUCCUCUGUAUACAGAUCUCGGGCCUGCGCCAAAAAGCUGAUCGCGCCAACAGCACGCACAUAGAUCAUGGGGGUGAGUAUUACCGGCAUGGAUUGCACCCUCCACACGCAAAUGAGUGCAUUCACUGCCCUCCUGUGUCAAAGUGCGUGUGCAGGGGCCAUUAUCCCCCGUCUGAGUGGUUGAGUAAUAUCUGCUGUGCUGCGUCAGCUCUUUUAAUACUGUGUUCAAUGCAGCCUAGUUAUACAGGCACCUUUAAUAACAGGGACUGUGUGUGGAAUCCAUCAUACAUUGCAGAAAGCAUCAACAGCUCAGCAAAGUUUUUUUUUAUUCUUCUUCUUUGCUGUUUGUUUUGAUUUUCUUUUAGGACUCAAUCUACUGGCAGAAUGGAGGAGAGCAAAGACUCUGAAGAAAGUCGGACUGCUUGGUAGAGAUCCUUCAAGAAGGGGGCAGUCAGCGGCAUCGGAAUGGUGGGCUACCAGCUGUCGUAGUGGGAACUUCAAGGACUACGCGACAGAGCUUGGGCUAUCUGUGAGAGAAUAGAAGCUAGAUGGCAAGGUCGGCAGGAGAAAUCGCUCUUCUUAAGGAUAAUAGAAAGUUUGUUUAUUCUCUCCUGCUCCAAAGAACGGAGUCAGGAGAAUUACAUCGCAUCAGAUUGGUGCUCGUUAGAUUGUUGCACGUGGCAUUGUUCAUCACGGCGCGUAUCCCUGUGUUCUGAAUCACGGUGCAGUCGGGUGAACAACCAGUAGCCGAAGAAGCACGUGCCGUCACUGGACUGGGACAGCGCUCGGUAUCCGUGUCGCCGGUAAGCAGUCGUCGUUCUCUGACGUGGUUGGCUGUCCAAGUGGGGAUUGACGACGGACAGUCGGACAGGGCACAACAGGGAGACCUGCUACUCACCACUAGCAUGGGCUCGCAACGUGGAGAGACUGGGGAGUAACAAGCAUGAGAACUGGGGAGAGCAACUGUCAAACCUAAGUUGAUGUGUUUGUAUGUGAGAGUAAAUGGUGGUCAUGACGCACGUCAACAGCACUGUAGCAUUGGAAGUAGGAAUGGCAUACAUAGUACUUAGAUCCUUUUAGACUGGCUAGAUUUGUCGUAUGUAUAUAAUCCGAAUAAUGUGUAUGUCUAAUAAAUCUUUUCUUGUUGUACCUUUA